rnacentral:rRNA from 1 species
UGGGGAAUUUUGGACAAUGGGCGAAAGCCUGAUCCAGCAAUGCCGCGUGUGUGAAGAAGGCCUUCGGGUUGUAAAGCACUUUUGUCCGGAAAGAAAUCCUUGGCUCUAAUACAGUCGGGGGAUGACGGUACCGGAAGAAUAAGCACCGGCUAACUACGUGCCAGCAGCCGCGGUAAUACGUAGGGUGCAAGCGUUAAUCGGAAUUACUGGGCGUAAAGCGUGCGCAGGCGGUUUGCUAAGACCGAUGUGAAAUCCCCGGCUCAACCUGGGACUGCAUUGGUGACUGGCAGGCUAGAGUAUGGCAGAGGGGGGUAGAAUUCCACGUGUAGCAGUGAAAUGCGUAGAGAUGUGGAGGAAUACCGAUGGCGAAGGCAGCCCCCUGGGCCAAUACUGACGCUCAUGCACGAAAGCGUGGGGAGCAAACAGGAUUAGAUACCCUGGUAGUCCACGCCCUAAACGAUGUCAACUAGUUGUUGGGGAUUCAUUUCCUUAGUAACGUAGCUAACGCGUGAAGUUGACCGCCUGGGGAGUACGGUCGCAAGAUUAAAACUCAAAUGAAUUGACGGGAUCAUAGCUGUUUCCU